rnacentral:rRNA from 1 species
CAGCCGCCGCGGUAAAACGAAGGGGGCUAGCGUUGCUCGGAAUGACUGGGCGUAAAGGGCGCGUAGGCGGCGAUCAAAGUCAGGCGUGAAAUUCCUGGGCUCAACCUGGGGGCUGCGCUUGAUACUUGGUUGCUUGAGUAUGGGAGAGGUGAGUGGAAUCUCCGGUGUAGCGGUGAAAUGCGUAGAUAUCGGAAGGAAUACCUGUGGCGAAAGCGGCUCACUGGACCAUAACUGACGCUGAUGCACGAAAGCUAGGGGAGCAAACAGGAUUAGAUACCCCUGUAGUCCCUGUCUCUAUACA